AUUGAACGCUGGCGGCAUGCCUUACACAUGCAAGUCGAACGCGAAAGCGGGGGCAACCCUGCCGGUAGAGUGGCGAACGGGUGAGUAACACAUCGGAACGUGCCUGGGAGUGGGGGAUAACCUAGCGAAAGCUAGGCUAAUACCGCAUACGUCCUAAGGGAGAAAGCGGGGGACCUUUCGGGGCCUCGUGCUCAUGGAGCGGCCGAUGUCGGAUUAGCUAGUUGGUGGGGUAAAGGCUCACCAAGGCGACGAUCCGUAGCUGGUCUGAGAGGAUGAUCAGCCACACUGGGACUGAGACACGGCCCAGACUCCUACGGGAGGCAGCAGUGGGGAAUUUUGGACAAUGGGGGCAACCCUGAUCCAGCCAUGCCGCGUGAGUGAAGAAGGCCUUCGGGUUGUAAAGCUCUUUCGGCCGGAACGAAAUCGCAUGGGUGAAUAACUCAUGUGGAUGACGGUACUGGAAGAAGAAGCACCGGCUAACUACGUGCCAGCAGCCGCGGUAAUACGUAGGGUGCGAGCGUUAAUCGGAAUUACUGGGCGUAAAGCGUGCGCAGGCGGUUUGUUAAGCCAGAUGUGAAAGCCCCGGGCUCAACCUGGGAACUGCGUUUGGGACUGGCAGGCUGGAGUGCGGCAGAGGGGGG
rnacentral:rRNA from 1 species